rnacentral:rRNA from 1 species
CCUACGGGAGGCAGCAGUGAGGAAUAUUGGUCAAUGGGCGCGAGCCUGAAUCAGCCAAGUCGCGUGAGGGCUGACGGCCCUACGGGUUGUAAACCUCUUUUGCCGGGGAGCAACGGGCGCCACGUGUGGCGCCACUGAGAGUACCCGUAGAAAAAGCAUCGGCUAACUCGGUGCCAGCAGCCGCGGUAAUACGGAGGAUGCGAGGGUUAUCCGGUUUUUUUGGGUUUAAAGGGUGCGAAGGGGGAUGGUUAAGUCAGUGGUAAAAUUGGGGGGCUCAACCCAUUACCGCAAUUGACACUGGCGCUCUUGAGUGGAAGUGAAGUAUGCGGAAUGCGUGGUGUAGCGGUGAAAUGCAUAGAUAUCACGCAGAACCCCGAUUGCGAAGGCAGCAUGCCGGAUUCCGACUGACGCUGAAGCACGAAAGCGUGGGGAUCGAACAGGAUUAGAUACCCCUGUAGUC